rnacentral:rRNA from 1 species
AACGAACGCUGGCGGCAUGCCUAACACAUGCAAGUCGAACGAUGCUUUCGGGCAUAGUGGCGCACGGGUGCGUAACGCGUGGGAAUCUGCCCUUGGGUUCGGAAUAACAGUGAGAAAUUGCUGCUAAUACCGGAUGAUGUCUUCGGACCAAAGAUUUAUCGCCCAGGGAUGAGCCCGCGUAGGAUUAGCUAGUUGGUGGGGUAAUGGCCUACCAAGGCGACGAUCCUUAGCUGGUCUGAGAGGAUGAUCAGCCACACUGGGACUGAGACACGGCCCAGACUCCUACGGGAGGAAGCAGUGGGGAAUAUUGGACAAUGGGCGCAAGCCUGAUCCAGCAAUGCCGCGUGAGUGAUGAAGGCCUUAGGGUUGUAAAGCUCUUUUACCCGGGAUGAUAAUGACAGUACCGGGAGAAUAAGCUCCGGCUAACUCCGUG